CCUACGGGUGGCAGCAGUGGGGAAUAUUGGACAAUGGGGGGAACCCUGAUCCAGCGACGCCGCGUGAGUGAAGAAGUACUUCGGUAUGUAAAGCUCUAUUAGCAGGGAAGAAAAUGACGGUACCUGACUAAGAAGCCCCGGCUAACUACGUGCCAGCAGCCGCGGUAAUACGUAGGGGGCAAGCGUUAUCCGGAUUUACUGGGGGUAAAGGGAGCGUAGACGGUGCAGCAAGUCUGGUGGGGAAGGUCGGGGCCCAAACCGGGGAAUGCAUUGGAAACUGUUGAACUUGAGUACAGGAGAGGUAGGCGGAAUUCCUAGUGUAGCGGUGAAAUGCGUAGAUAUUAGGAAGAACACCAGUGGCGAAGGCGGCUUACUGGACUGUAACUGACGUUGAGGCUCGAAAGCGUGGGGAGCAAACAGGAUUAGAUACCCGUGUAGUC
rnacentral:rRNA from 1 species